rnacentral:rRNA from 1 species
UACGUAGGUGACAAGCGUUGUCCGGAUUUACUGGGUGUAAAGGGCGCGUAGGCGGGAUAGCAAGUCAGUCGUGAAAUGCCGAGGCUUAACCUCGGAGCUGCGAUUGAAACUGUUAUUCUUGAGUAUCGGAGAGGAAAGCGGAAUUCCUAGUGUAGCGGUGAAAUGCGUAGAUAUUAGGAGGAACACCAGUGGCGAAGGCGGCUCUCUGGACUGUAACUGACACUGAGGCACGAAAGCGUGGGGAGCAAACAGG